rfam:Ictidomys tridecemlineatus contig037921, whole genome shotgun sequence.
GGGGUUGUAGCUCAGUGAUGGAGUGCUUGCCUAGCAUGCAUGAGAUCCUGGGUUCCAUCUCUAGCACCACCA